GGCUUCAGAUCGCUCAGUUAGUAAAGCAUGGGAUUCUUAAUCUUGGGGUCAUGGGUUCAAGUUCCAGGGUUCAAGGCCCA